rnacentral:rRNA from 1 species
CAAUUCGAAGCAACGCGCAGAACCUUACCAGGCCUUGACAUCCCGGUCGCGGCCCCUUGAAAGAGGGGCCUUCAGUUCGGCUGGACCGGUGACAGGUGCUGCAUGGCUGUCGUCAGCUCGUGUCGUGAGAUGUUGGGUUAAGUCCCGCAACGAGCGCAACCCUCGCCCUUAGUUGCCAUCAUUUAGUUGGGCACUCUAAGGGGACUGCCGGUGAUAAGCCGCGAGGAAGGUGGGGAUGACGUCAAGUCCUCAUGGCCCUUACGGCCUGGGCUACACACGUGCUACAAUGGCGGUGACAAUGGGCAGCAAUGGCGCGAGCCGGAGCUAAUCUCAAAAAGCCGUCUCAGUUCGGAUUGCACUCUGCAACUCGGGUGCAUGAAGUUGGAAUCGCUAGUAAUCGUGGAUCAGCAUGCCACGGUGAAUACGUUCCCGGGCCUUGUACACACCGCC